GCCAUUCCCUUCUGCUGAUGGACCCUUCCCACAGGCCCUGGUGGACCUGGCAAUUGGGCUAACUCUCCUCUAUAGCCACUGAGCCCUGAUGAACACAGACAUUGCUGAGGGACUUGUUCUCAGUUUGGGCUCCUGCUCCUUGUCUUUGCACCACUUGGGCUCAUCGGCUUUGCAUGUAACUGUGUUUUUUAAGGACUUCUUCACUGACAGAGAAAAGAGCCAUAACCUGUGGGUGUGGGAGCCUGAAAGGUUGCUUGCUGAGUCAUUUCUGGCAAAUGAAUUCUGAAGUGAGUCAACAGCUUGUUGCCACUUUGUCCUUGUGGUGUUAAAAGUGAUUCAUGCUGGGGUUUAGGUGGAAGCUAAGUUGCUUCCUUGCCAUGCUGACUGUCAACUAGUGGUGACUGUCAGCUAAUUGCUUGAAUUUGCCUUGGAAAACCUUGGAGACCAUUACUGGGGUUCAGCUCCAGUCCACACAGGGUUAUAUAAAACAGGAAUAGAACACCCCUGCCCUGCUCCUACUGCUGCAAUAGCAUGCAUAUCCCCACAUGUGAACUCUCCAUCAUGGACAGUCUUCAAGGUCAAGCCAGACAAUUAUCCGCUGUGAACAUUGAUAGACAACCCCCUGAUAAUUUGGGGGCACAUUUGCUACCAUCAUGAAGCAGAACAGCUACUCUGUCAUGACUUCACAUGAGCAAGAACAUCCUUAACCCAGCAGCUGCCUUAACCCACUCUCCAAACGAUCCUGGAAUAGAUUGAGCAGUUACCCGUGGACUCUGUGGAACAAUCCCACCACCCAUCUUCAGCCAUCGUUUAAUGCUGGUAUCAUGAAGUGGCCUGUGUUGUCCAUAGAGAGACACUGUGUCCUCCAGAAACCAGUAAGCAGGGCCUAACUGGAAGGCUUGGGUUCCCGAUGUCCAAGCACCCAAGCUAAGCUGAGGAGGCCAGUAACAUAAAACUCUCCUCCCUGCCUUUGUUACCAAACCUGU